GGAAGUAGCUCAGUGGUAGGGCACAUGCUUAGCAUGCAUGAGGUCCUGUUUUCAACACUCAGUACUGCCA
rnacentral:tRNA from 1 species